rnacentral:rRNA from 1 species
UACGGAGGUGGCAAGCGUUGCUCGGAAUCACUGGGCGUAAAGGGCGCGUAGGCGGGGAGGUAAGUCGGGUGUGAAAUCCCUCGGCCCAACCGAGGAACUGCGCCCGAGACUGCUUCUCUUGAGUCCCGGAGAGGAAGAUGGAAUUCCCGGUGUAGCGGUGAAAUGUGUAGAGAUCAGGAGGAACACCAAUGGCGAAGGCAGCACUCUGGGACGGUACUGACGCUGAGACGCGAAAGCGUGGGGAGCAAACAGG